UCAAAACAAGAACUAAUUUAAUGUAUUUUAAGAAAACGCAUGAAGAUUUAUCAAGCAAUUUCUCAAGAGGCGAUAGAGUGGGUGUUGAGAAGAUGAGGAAGGAGCUAGCCACAUUGCUGAAAGCUGAAGGGCCACCACAGAAGGACUUUAACGGAUGGUAAAAAAAAAGAAGCAUUCGCAAUAAGGUUGCGCGUAACAAUUUGAAGCAACAGGUAGUGGAUCAUCAAAAAGCAAUUUUUGUGCCCGUUGCGAGCAUUCAAGAUUCCUGAAGAUUUGGAACAGAAAAAACCUUCAACGCUAAUGAACCGGAGGAAUAAGGUCCACAGACAGUGCCAUCAAUGCAUCCUAUCACUCCUGCCCUAUGCAAAUAUCACCACCCCCACUAUUGUGAGGUUUUCCGUAUGCUGACGUGAUUUCAAAAGCUCAAGUGCUCACAGAUUUGUGAUAUGUGAAAGCAAACCUCAAUAUAAAAUCGUAUGCGAUAGUUUUGAUAAUUUCAAUAUUUUUAAAGAAAUUUGCAAUUAUA